rnacentral:rRNA from 1 species
UACAGAGGCCCCAAGCGUUACUGAGAAUCACUGGGUUUAAAGGGUGCGUAGGUGGCGCGUUAAGUCCGUUGUGAAAUCCCUUGGCUCAACCAAGGAAAUGCUUCGGAUACUGGCGUGCUUGAGGCUAGUAGGGGUCACUGGAACUGACGGUGGAGCGGUGAAAUGCGUAGAUAUCGUCAGGAACGCCGAUGGUGAAGACAGGUGACUGGGCUAGUUCUGACACUGAGGCACGAAAGCGUGGGGAGCGAACGGGGA